GAAGAGGGAUAAGGGUGUCGGCUUUGGGAUCUAGAGCGGCGGCGGGAGGAACCGAGCGCGACGAGACGACGACGAGGAACCGAGCGAGACCCUCUUCUGCUUCUCCUCUUUUCUCUCGGCUCGUACUUAGGUCUAGGUUACCUUCACGUUCUUGGUGGUGGGGUAUCCUUGCUCUUUUGGUAGAAACUCUCUACGUCUCUUCGGUCUUUGAAAGCAUGAUUACGAUCCUCCACACCGUGAGAAUAAGUCGGGAUGCUUAAAUCGACAGGUGUUUGACGUCUUGAACCUAAAUUUCUACCAAUAUAGAUAAUAAGUUCGUUCCGUUAUUUCAAACGACGCCUAUAUCUUGUUCCUAAACUGAUUCUCCUUGACGUCUUUGCUCGACGGUGGAAGACCCAAGACUUACUUCACGGAAAACCAGUCGAUUUGGGUAACCCCGAUUUAGGUAGGUAACUACAUCCCUAACAAUUCUGGAUGCCGCACCGGAUAUUAUGGGAUUAACCUUUUUGUUAGUAACGGAAACGAGCGAGAGUUGUUUCACACGAGAGGACCUAUCGUUUAGGUCUAUUGUCAUACAAGCAAGCACUAGUCAAUUCUUUAUCAUAAUCCAUACCGGUAGGAAGAGGGGAGAAAUAAGAGAUCUCUAAUGUAAACGAAUAGUUAGGAAAAUAGAGGUACAGUGAAAUGUAACGGAGCAUGUGAACAUAAACGGGGUAUAUAAUCAUCAGAAAAACUAAACCCUGUUUGUCACCUGUCAUCUAUUACACCUUCUAUAACCUUGAAUGCGAUAAUUACUCUUAUACUAGGUUUAAUACGGUAAGGCUCAAGCACCUUCCUGAGGACUACUACACUACUGUGGAUCCGUCCCAAACGUUGAUGACUAUGUCUGGUUAUAAAACGUUGUAACCGGUCUACUAUAACUUGAUCGCGUGAAGUUACGUAAGGAGUAAUUGGGUUUAUAUUUGUAUUCCUUUGUUCUACAGGAGCUAGUAGGUAAGGAUCAGUGUCAGGGGGUGCAAUCCCUCUCGUUCAUAUUUUCUAAUAUACUUUUUCCUUAAAAAAAAUGGCUACUGGUUUAUCUAACCAACCUCUUUGUAUAGAAGAAUGUCCCCACCGUUGCGUUACAACCUCUGGGCAGAGAAUGUCGCUAAGACCUGGUAGUUUAACUUCAAUGGGCCCCCCACCCCAAACGAGUUUGUCAAAAACCUCGGAACGUGAAACGGUUUCAUCAGUAUCGAGUAAUAGUGGUCAUACUAUAAUUAUCCGCCGGAGAAGAACUACUACUAGAGUCCGUAAAAGACGUUCCUGAAGAAUGACCUCAUAUACCACGAUCCAAAUUACUCCUUAAAUAACGAAACCCGGACUUCGAAUUACUCCUUAAAUAACGACUCCUGGGCCGCGAAUUACUACUUAAAUAACGUCUCCCGAUCCCGAUCCCGAUCAGUCUGAAUAACAGAGGCGAAGUAGGUUGAUAUAUAAGCAUACUCGAAACAGUCGAAACCAAAACUAAUGAACGUUCAUCAGUCUAUACGUGGUACAGGAUACCAGUCACAUACUUAACAUUUGGAAUUAAUAGAGUUGGAAUAGGUUGAUAAGUACACUCGAAAAAGUCGAAACAAAACUAAUGAACGUUCAUCAGUCUAUACGUGGUGCAGGAUACCAGUCACACACUUAACAUUUGGAAUUAAUAGAGUCGGAAUAGGUUG
rnacentral:rRNA from 1 species